UCUGUAGAGUAUCCAGGCGCGUCGUUAGCAAUUGAAAACAUCCGGGGCUUUAGCCCGGGGGGGGAGCACCGUCCUGACUCCUGCGUGCUACGGUAUCUUAAUUAAUUAAAUAAUUAAUUAAUGAAUUAAUGUAUCGAUUAAUUAAUUAAGGGCGCCCCCAACACAUAGGUCGCCUAUGCCGAGCGCCAGGGCAAAAAUAAGACAUUAGAAUAGCCUAUAUAGCCUGCGUGCACCUACCCGAUGUCAAGAAGCCAUCGCUGCUCCGACGGACCUUUCUCCCCCAGCCAGGCAACGGCAAUUAACUACAGCCGCCCUUCCUGGGUAACGCCACCACCAAUCCCUGGUCAUCCAUUGAAGCCAUCUCUCUCACUCUGCACAGUCACACUGUUAUCGCUUCAUUCUCAUUGUCUCAUAAUCUCAUUAUUAUGGCUGCUGUGGAUGCUUUAAAAAAAAAAAAAAUUAUCUUAGGUAAAAUCAAACCAGUGGGAUUUUAGAUUGAAAACCUCCAAAGCAAUGUAUUAAAAAUCGAAAGACAGUCCUAUGUGAAGUUUCUUUUUUGGGGAUUUUCAAAAUGAGGUACCAGAAUGGAUUGUCAACCCACUGUUUCUCAACCCUCUCCGAUUAUUACUAUGAGUAGUAGUAUUGCAUGCAUACAGUACUCACAUCAGCGCCACAGUAAGCCUAUAGAGGCUGCAACCAUUUGCUUCUCAAAAGAUUGUAGUGUUUUAGAAUGAACAACCAGAGGGACAAGACAAGACUAAUUUUGAUUGACAAGUUGGCUAGAUUUAUAUAUGUAUUUAUAUUAUUUUUUUAUUUAUAAGAAUGAAAGAAAUUGUGUAAUGAAAGAAUAAAACAAUGAUUGAUGCAUUUUUGUUUGAAUAACAUCUUGCUCCCGCGGCCAGUGCCAGCGCCGGCAUUGCAAGGGGAGGGAUAUUACGUACAUUUGCAGGAGGCGGGAUAAGUGCGGCCGCUGUCACUCAGAUUUGUUUUGGUUUGACGCAGACAGCAUGGAGGCAGAACAGACCGUAGAAGUCAACGCGAUCGUCUUCAAUGUUGCUGCAACGAUGCAGCAUAUAUUCAGAAGAGCAGCCAGUACUUACGUGUAUGAAAGCAGC
ensembl:lncRNA